rnacentral:rRNA from 1 species
CUCUCCGGAGGGAAGCGAGUGGCGAACGGCUGAGUAACACGUGGAGAACCUGCCCCCUCCCCCGGGAUAGCCGCCCGAAAGGACGGGUAAUACCGGAUACCCCGGGGUGCCGCAUGGCACCCCGGCUAAAGCCCCGACGGGAGGGGAUGGCUCCGCGGCCCAUCAGGUAGACGGCGGGGUGACGGCCCACCGUGCCGACAACGGGUAGCCGGGUUGAGAGACCGACCGGCCAGAUUGGGACUGAGACACGGCCCAGACUCCUACGGGAGGCAGCAGUGGGGAAUCUUGCGCAAUGGGGGGAACCCUGACGCAGCGACGCCGCGUGCGGGACGGAGGCCUUCGGGUCGUAAACCGCUUUCAGCAGGGAAGAGUCAAGACUGUACCUGCAGAAGAAGCCCCGGCUAACUACGUGCCAGCAGCCGCGGUAAUACGUAGGGGGCGAGCGUUAUCCGGAUUCAUUGGGCGUAAAGCGCGCGUAGGCGGCCCGGCAGGCCGGGGGUCGAAGCGGGGGGCUCAACCC